rnacentral:rRNA from 1 species
UAAUUUAGAUUUUUUUAAUUGUUAGAAUUGCAUUUUAAUUUAAGAAAAUAAAAAAUUUUUUAAAAUUUAUAUUAAAAGUGUUAAAUUAAUUUUUAAUUAAUGUUAUAAAUUAAUUAAUAAUUAUUUUAGUGUUGAAAAGUCGUUUUUAAUGGUAAAAGUUUAUAAUGUAUUAUUAGAAAAUUAUAUUUUUUUAUUUUUUUAAAAAAAUAGAAUUUAAAUUUUUUGAAUUUAAAUUUUUGUAAAUAUAGAUUUUUUUUUUUUUUUUUUAAAUUGAAAAUUUUCAAUUUUCAAUAAUUUAAAUAUUAGUAUUUUAUGAAAUAAAUAUUUUAUUUUAGAAUAUAAUUUUUAAAUUUUAAAUUUAGUUUAAAUGUUUUUUAAAGACUUAGGUUUUAAUUUUAAAGUUAUUUUCUGCUCUAUGAAUUAUUAAAUGGCAGUUUUAGCGUGAGGACAUUAAAGUAGCAAAAUAAUUUGUUCUUUUAUUGAGUUCUAGUAUGAAUGAAAAUUUUAGAUUAAUAUUUUUAAUUUUUUUAAAAAUUAAGAAUUUAAAUUUAAAUUAAAAAUUAUUUAUUUUUUUUUUACUAAGAUAAGUCUUUGAAAAUUUUUUUUUAUAAAAAUUAUUAAUAAUUUUUAUAAAAUUUAUUUAGGGUAAAUUUUUAAUUAAUAUUUUAUACUAAUUAUAAUUUUAAAAAUUACUUCAGAGUUAACAGAAAUUCAUUUUUUUUUUAGAUUUUAUAAAAAAAUAAGUUUUACAUCGAUGUUGUAUUUUAAAUAUGUUAAGAAUAGAAAUUUAAUUUUAUGAGACUGUUCUUCUUUAUAUUUAGACUUGAUAUUAGUUUAAUUCAUUGUGAGAUAGAAUUGUUUAUCUAGUAAAAAAAUUAUGUAAAAAAAAUUUAGUACGAAAGGAAUUAUUUUUAAGUUAAUAAUUUUUUAAUUAUUA